UACGAAGGGGGCGAGCGUUGUUCGGAAUUACUGGGCGUAAAGCGUGCGUAGGCGGUUCUCCAAGUCCGUUGUGAAAGCCCCGGGCUCAACCUGGGAAUGGCAGUGGAAACUAGGGGACUGGAAUCUGGCAGAGGGGGGUGGAAUGCCGCGUGUAGCAGUGAAAUGCGUAGAGAUGCGGCGGAACACCGAUGGCGAAGGCAGCCCCCUGGGCUGAGAUUGACGCUCAGGCACGAAAGCGUGGGGAGCAAACAGG
rnacentral:rRNA from 1 species